rnacentral:rRNA from 1 species
AUACUAUUAUUUACAAUGAACCCUUUAUUUUUACUGAAUAUUUCUAUAAAGUUAUAGAACCUUUUAUGUUGAAACUAGUAACAAGAAGUUAAACUUCUCCUCAAUAUAAGUAUAAGUCGACUAGGAUAAACCAUCGACAAUUAACGCUUAAAUUAAAUGUAUUAACUCCACAAGAAAAACUUACAUUACCCCACGUUAAUCUUACACCAGAACAUUUAAGGAAAGAUUUAAAAAAAAGGAAGGAACUCGGCAAACAUUAACCCCGCCUGUUUACCAAAAACAUCGCCUUCUGAUAUAUUAUAGAAGGUCCAGCCUGCCCAGUGAAUUAAUUUAACGGCCGCGGUAUCCUAACCGUGCGAAGGUAGCGUAAUCACUUGUUCUUUAAAUGAGGACUAGUAUGAAUGGCACCACGAAGGUUAUACUGUCUCCCUUUUUUGAUCAGUUAAACUAAUCUUCACGUGAAGAAGCGUGAAUAAACAUAUAAGACGAGAAGACCCUAUGGAGCUUAAAAUUACACAACAAUUGUUAAAAAAAUCCUAAAUUUUAUAAAUAAUUUUUUACUAAACACCAUGAUUGCUAAUUUUUGGUUGGGGUGACCGCGGAGUAAAAAUUAACCUCCACAAUGAAAGAAAUCAAUAUUCUAAACUAAGAGCUACAACUCAAAGUAUUAAUAUUUUAACAUUCUUUGAUCCAAUAUUUGAUCAACGAACAAAGUUACCCUAGGGAUAACAGCGCAAUCUACUUUGAGAGCUCCUAUCGACAAGUAGGUUUACGACCUCGAUGUUGGAUCAGGGUAUCCUAGUGGUGCAGCCGCUACUAAUGG